rnacentral:rRNA from 1 species
GAUGAACGCUGGCGGCGUGCCUAAUACAUGCAAGUCGAGCGAACAGACGAGGAGCUUGCUCCUCUGACGUUAGCGGCGGACGGGUGAGUAACACGUGGAUAACCUACCUAUAAGACUGGGAUAACUUCGGGAAACCGGAGCUAAUACCGGAUAAUAUAUUGAACCGCAUGGUUCAAUAGUGAAAGACGGUUUUGCUGUCACUUAUAGAUGGAUCCGCGCCGCAUUAGCUAGUUGGUAAGGUAACGGCUUACCAAGGCGACGAUGCGUAGCCGACCUGGGAGGGUGAUCGGCCACACUGGAACUGAGACACGGUCCAGACUCCUACGGGAGGCAGCAGUAGGGAAUCUUCCGCAAAGGGCGAAAGCCUGACGGAGCAACGCCGCGUGAGUGAUGAAGGUCUUCGGAUCGUAAAACUCUGUUAUUAGGGAAGAACAAAUGUGUAAGUAACUAUGCACGUCUUGACGGUACCUAAUCAGAAAGCCACGGCUAACUACGUG